UUAUAUCUAAAUAUUAAGUAUAUCUAAGCGAGUCUAUAUAUCUAAUAGAUAUCUAAUAAGUGCAAGGAAUGUAGAAUUAAAUAAAAGGAUUUGCCCACCUUUUUAAAUCAAAUAAAAUAGGUGUAUAUGAUAAGAUAAUCCACUUUCUUUAUUAUCUUACUUUAUUCUUAAUUUUCUUAUUAUUCUAUUGUUCUUGUCUUCUAAUUUGAAUUUUUGAAUUUAAUAAAGAAAGAGUUUAUUACAAAUUGUCGAAAGAUUCGAUUCGUUAGAAUCCGAUCCAAGAACAGGGAUUAUUAGUAAAAAUAGAAUUUUUCGGAGAUACAAAAAGAUGCAAAACUCUAUAUUUCUAUUAUAUUUUUUCUCUAUUUAAAUUAUAUAUACAUAUGCAAUAGAGGAAGAUAAAAUUUAUUUUAUUUGUCUCUCCAAAUUCGAAUUUCAUUUCGCAGAAGGAAAAAUUCGCUUUUUAUCUUGUUGCUAGAGGUUUACUCAUUAGUAAUAUCGGAUAAUGAUAAUAAUAAUUAUCCACAUAAUUUGUUUUUCGACAAUUCCUUUUUUUGUCACAAAGUCAAAGCCCAUUACGCGGGCUUUGACUUUGAUUCCGAUAAACUAACUAACUACCUUUUCACUAAAAAUAAAAACAUUUCACUUAAGAAUCUAC
rnacentral:lncRNA from 1 species